GAGUUUGAUCCUGGCUCAGGACGAACGCUGGCGGCGUGCCUAAUACAUGCAAGUCGAGCGGAUCUUCAUUAGCUUGCUUUUGAAGAUCAGCGGCGGACGGGUGAGUAACACGUGGGCAACCUGCCUGUAAGACUGGGAUAACUUCGGGAAACCGGAGCUAAUACCGGAUAAUCCUUUUCCUCUCAUGAGGAAAAGCUGAAAGACGGUUUCGGCUGUCACUUACAGAUGGGCCCGCGGCGCAUUAGCUAGUUGGUGAGGUAACGGCUCACCAAGGCGACGAUGCGUAGCCGACCUGAGAGGGUGAUCGGCCACACUGGGACUGAGACACGGCCCAGACUCCUACGGGAGGCAGCAGUAGGGAAUCUUCCGCAAUGGACGAAAGUCUGACGGAGCAACGCCGCGUGAGCGAUGAAGGCC
rnacentral:rRNA from 1 species